rnacentral:rRNA from 1 species
GACAGAGGUCCCAAGCGUUAGGCGGAAUCACUGGGCUUAAAGCGUGUGUAGGCGGAUUUGUAAGUACCUUGUGAAAUCCCACGGCUCAACCGUGGAACUGCUUGGUAUACUGCUUAUCUUGGGCCAUCUAGGGGCGAGCGGAACAAACGGUGGAGCGGUGAAAUGCGUAGAUAUCGGGAGGAACACCUGUGGCGAAGGCGGCCCCCUGGUUGGAUACUGACGCUGAUACGCGAAAGCGUGGGGAGCAAACAGG